rnacentral:rRNA from 1 species
UUAGGAAUAUUCGUCAAUGGGGGAAACCCUGAACGAGCAAUGCCGCGUGAACGAUGAAGGCCCUUCGGGUUGUAAAGUUCUGUUGUUUGGAAAGAAUCUCGUGUAUAGGAAAUGAUACACGACUGACGGUACCAUUCAAGAAAGCCACGGCUAACUACGUGCCAGCAGCCGCGGUAAUACGUAGGUGGCGAGCGUUAUCCGGAUUUAUUGGGCGUAAAGCGUCCGCAGCCGGUUUAUUAAGUCCAAAAUAAAAGCCCGAAGCUUAACUUCGGUUCGUUUUGGAAACUGGUAGACUUGAGUGUGGUAGAGGCAAGUGGAACUUCUAGUGUAGCGGUAAAAUGCGUAGAUAUUAGAAAGAACACCAGUGGCGAAGGCGACUUGCUGGGCCAUCACUGACGGUCAGGGACGAAAGCGUGGGGAGCAAAUAGG